UACAGAGGCCCCGAGCGUUGUUCGGAUUCAUUGGGCGUAAAGGGUGUGUAGGAGGUUGGGCAAGUCGGAUGUGAAAUCUCGCCGCUUAACGGCGAAACUGCAUUCGAUACUGCUCGGCUAGAGGAUCGGAGGGGAGAGCGGAAUUCUCGGUGUAGCAGUGAAAUGCGUAGAUAUCGAGAGGAACGCCGGUGGCGAAAGCGGCUCUCUGGAAGAUUCCUGACUCUGAACCACGAAAGCCAGGGGAGCAAACGGG
rnacentral:rRNA from 1 species